AUCCGGAUUUAUUGGGCGUAAAGCGAGCGCAGGCGGUUGCUUAGGUCUGAUGUGAAAGCCUUCGGCUUAACCGAAGAAGUGCAUCGGAAACCGGGCGACUUGAGUGCAGAAGAGGACAGUGGAACUCCAUGUGUAGCGGUGGAAUGCGUAGAUAUAUGGAAGAACACCAGUGGCGAAGGCGGCUGUCUGGUCUGCAACUGACGCUGAGGCUCGAAAGCAUGGGUAGCGAACAGGAUUAGAUACCCUGGUAGUCCAUGCCGUAAACGAUGAGUGCUAGGUGUUGGAGGGUUUCCGCCCUUCAGUGCCGGAGCUAACGCAUUAAGCACUCCGCCUGGGGAGUACGACCGCAAGGUUGAAACUCAAAGGAAUUGACGGGGGCCCGCACAAGCGGUGGAGCAUGUGGUUUAAUUCGAAGCUACGCGAAGAACCUUACCAGGUCUUGACAUCUUGCGCUAACCUUAGAGAUAAGGCGUUCCCUUCGGGGACGCAAUGACAGGUGGUGCAUGGUCGUCGUCAGCUCGUGUCGUGAGAUGUUGGGUUAAGUCCCGCAACGAGCGCAACCCUUGUUACUAGUUGCCAGCAUUAAGUUGGGCACUCUAGUGAGACUGCCGGUGACAAACCGGAGGAAGGUGGGGACGACGUCAGAUCAUCAUGCCCCUUAUGACCUGGGCUACACACGUGCUACAAUGGACGGUACAACGAGUCGCAAGCUCGCGAGAGUAAGCUAAUCUCUUAAAGCCGUUCUCAGUUCGGACUGUAGGCUGCAACUCGCCUACACGAAGUCGGAAUCGCUAGU
rnacentral:rRNA from 1 species